AGACCGUGCGAGGAGCGAUUCCGGAAGGUCGCUCGUGGCCACUGGACUCUUCUGCAGACCAGGAGAUCGGGAUCUGGAAUGGGGCUUGGAGUUGAGCUCAUGCAGCAAGCUAGGGGCAGGCAGGGUGUGGUGGCCCACACCUGUAGUCCCAGCUACUCUGAAAUCUGAGGCGGAAGGAUCACUUGAGUCCAGGAGGUCAAGGCUGCAGUGAGCUGUGACUGUGCCACUGAACUCCAGCCUGCAUGACAGAGAGAGACCUUGUCUCGAAAAACAAAAUCCUGCCUGUACCUCCUGUGUGACUUCAGGCCUGCAACUCACCUCUCAGUGUCUCCGCUUCCUCACCUGGAAAAUGCAAUGGUAACAGUGGCUACCUCACACUAUUGUUGUGAGGGGUAAAGGCAUUUGUUUGUAAUUUGUUAAACAGGGAAGGUCGUGGUAGCUCAUGCCUGUAAUCCCAGCACUUUGGGAGGCCAAGGCGGGUGGAUCAUGAGGUCAGAAGUUCAAGACCAGCCUGACUAACAUAGUGAAACCCGGUUUCUACUAAAAAUACAAAAAUUAGCCGGAUAUGGUGGUGCACGC
rnacentral:lncRNA from 1 species